rnacentral:snRNA from 1 species
GAACUUACUUGUCUUGCGGAUUACCGUGAUCACAAAGGGGAUUUCCCUGGGGCGAGGCUUGACCAUUCCACUUUCUGUUGAGUUGACUUCCACGAUUAUCCCUAAUGCCAAUAAUUCCUACGUAUAAUUUUUGCGACUUAC